GCUGGAAAUAUUUGAAGGUAUCUAGCCAGUCCACAAUGAAAGCUUCGUUGCACCCCAUGAGUCUUCUGGCAGAAAUGAUGGCACCUGUAUUCUUUGGUUUCCCUAAACAUCACACCCUGCCUGUUUAUACGAGGCUCUUCAAUUAAGUCUGCACCCAAAGAUUCAAUAAGAGAGGGGAUCCUGCCAGUCCAAAGUGAACUCCUGAUGGACAUUGAAGUACUCCUGCAGCGCUUGUAUCUUCGACACCAUGCGCAUUAGAAACUCCACUGAGUCCUUUCCUUCACCAAGGCAGGACCCAGUGACUCAUUACUGUUGAUAGGUCAGGGGCAGGUAAUAUUUUAUUUCAUGUUUAUUCAUUCCUCCAUGGAUUACCAGCCAUAUAUAUGGACACAUGCUGUAUUCUCAAGAUCUAUGCUGUUUUGUAGGAAUUGAGAAAAUUAUAUGUUUAGUCUGUUUUCAAAUGGUAUGUCAAAUUUUCUCAUUGUUUAUCAGUAAUAUUCACUACCUUGGUUAUAUAUGAGCAUCUUUAGAUUUUUCUAUAUUUAGCGGUUGCAAAUGUAAAAUGUACGGUAAACCAUUUAUGUUCCUCAUAUUGUACUGUAUUUUUAGCGGUAAAAUACCGGCAGCUGUGGUUGCCAGGAAUUUACCGUAAAAUGUAUCUGGUCAAAAUAAAAUGCUGUAAUUUGUUAUACAA